rnacentral:rRNA from 1 species
UACGUAGGGUGCGAGCGUUGUCCGGAAUUAUUGGGCGUAAAGAGCUUGUAGGCGGUUUGUCGCGUCUGCCGUGAAAAUCCGGGGCUCAACCCCGGACUUGCGGUGGGUACGGGCAGACUAGAGUGUGGUAGGGGAGACUGGAAUUCCUGGUGUAGCGGUGAAAUGCGUAGAUAUUGGGAGGAACACCGGUGGCGAAGGCGGCCCCCUGGACCGGUACUGACGCUGAGGCGCGAAAGCGUGGGUAGCAAACGGG